CUUGACAAACUUAUAAGAGGUCCAGCCUGCCCAGUGACUCUGUUCAACGGCCGCGGUAUCCUAACCGUGCGAAGGUAGCGUAAUCACUUGUUCUUUAAAUGAGGACUAGUAUGAAUGGCACCACGAAGGUUAUACUGUCUCCUUUUUCUAAUCAGUGAAACUAAUCUUCCCGUGAAGAAACGGGAAUAAAAAUAUAAGACGAGAAGACCCUAUGGAGCUUUAAACAAAUAUACACCUGCCUCUUUACCAAAAAUUUCAGAAGACAAGUAAUUACCCGGGCAUUUUGAUAUAGCGUUUUAGGUUGGGGUGACCGCGGAGCAAAAAACAACCUCCGCAGCGAACGGGAGUAUUCCCUAAACCAAGGGCCACAACCCCAAGUAUUGAUAAAUCAACACUAAUUGACCCAAUAAAUUUGAUCAAUGAAC
rnacentral:rRNA from 1 species